AUUGAACGCUGGCGGCAGGCCUAACACAUGCAAGUCGAGCGGAGCGGCGGACGGGUGAGUAAUGCCUAGGCAUCUGCCUGGUAGUGGGGGAUAACGUCCGGCAACGGGCGCUAAUACCGCAUACUAUCAGAUGAGCCUAGGUCGGAUUCGCUAGUUGGUGGGGUAAAGGCCUACAAAGGCGACGAUCCGUAACUGGUCGGAGAGGAGGAUCAGUCACACGGGAACGGAGAAACGGCCCAGACUCGAACGGAAGGCAGCAGUGGGAAAUUUUGGACAAGGGGGGAAAGCCUGAGCCAGCCAUGCCGCGUGUGUGAAGAAGGUCUUCGGAUUGUAAGGCACUUUAAGUUGGGAGGCGUUACCAACAGAAUAAGCACCGGCUAACUUCGUGCCAGCAGCCGCGGUAAUAC
rnacentral:rRNA from 1 species